UUGUAUUCUGGGAGGCCAUGUGGUGAAGCAUUAGUUCCUAUAUAUGCCAGAGUGUCCGAUUCAACUUUUAGGACGAGAUCUAUUAUCAAAGCUUUAAGCUCAGAUAACCUUUUACCUAAUGGAUUAACAUCUCUGAAGUUUAAGGGAUUACCAGGCAUAAUGGUGAUAUCGGUGCCAAGGGAAGAAGAAUGGCGCUUCUAUUCCAUAGUGACAAGUGUUAACCCUAAG